UCCCUUAUUAGACACUCAAGUAAACCAUGUAGUUUAGAUAUUCCUUGGGAUCUAAUAUAACCAAUUCUCCACAAUGAUCAAACAGGGAGCACAGAGCAAAUGGACUAAAGGUCAAUCUUGAAAUCUGCAGCAACUGACUGUAAGGAUUGACUUGCAGGAAAUCAUAUCGUGAAGAAUGAAAGCACAAGGCUGCAAAUUGAUGAGA